GGACUGCAUUGGACCGCUAAGCCUGCGAGUCGAGAGGGUUCGGCCCUCGGCGAACUGCUCAGUAACACGUGGAUAAUCUAACCUUAGGUGGAGCAUAACCUCGGGAAACUGAGAAUAAUACUCCAUAGAUCUUUGAGGCUGGAAUGCGCUUAGAUUGAAAGCUUCGGCGCCUAAGGAUGAGUCUGCGGACUAUCAGGUAGUAGUCAGGGUAAAGACCUGACUAGCCUACGACGGAUACGGGUUGUGAGAGCAAUAACCCGGAGAUGAUAUCUGAGACACGAUAUCAGGCCCUACGGGGCGCAGCAGGCGCGAAAACUUCACAAUGCGCGAAAGCGCGAUGAGGGGAUCCCAAGUGCUUGCACGUAAGUGUAAGCUGUUUUUCUGUCUAAAAAGCAGAGAGAGUAAGGGCUGGGUAAGACGGGUGCCAGCCGCCGCGGUAAUACCUGCAGCUCAAGUGGUGGCCGCUAUUAUUGGGCCUAAAACGUCCGUAGCCGGCUGAGUAAAUGCCUGGGUAAAUCGUGUGGCUUAACCAUACGAAUUCCGGGUAGACUGCUCAGCUUGGGACCGGAAGAAGUUAGAGGUACUCCUGGGGUAGGGGUGAAAUCCUGUAAUCCUGGGGGGACCACCAGUGGCGAAGGCGUCUAACUAGGACGGGUCUGACGGUGAGGGACGAAGCCCUGGGGCGCAAACCGGAUUAGAUACCCGGGUAGUCCAGGGUGUAAACGCUGCUUGCUUGAUGUUAGCUGGGCUCCGAGCUCGGCUAGUGUCGGAGAGAAGUUGUUAAGCAAGCUGCCUGGGAAGUACGGUCGCAAGACUGAAACUUAAAG
rnacentral:rRNA from 1 species